rnacentral:misc_RNA from 1 species
UCCAGUCACGAACUGGACUAAGAA